UCAGCAGCCGCGGUAAUACGGAGGGUGCAAGCGUUAUUCGGAAUCACUGGGCGUAAAGCGCGCGUAGGUUGCGUGGUAAGUCAGAUGUGAAAGCCCGGCUCAACCGGGGAACUGCAUUUGAAACUGCCAUGCUUGAGUACGACAGAGGGUGGCGGAAUUCCCGGUGUAGGAGUGAAAUCCGUAGAUAUCGGGAGGAACACCAGUGGCGAAGGCGGCCACCUGGGUCGAUACUGACGCUGAGGUGCGAAAGCGUGGGUAGCAAACAGGAUUAGAUACCCUGGUAGUCCACGCCGUAAACGAUGGAUGCUAGGUGUUGGGUGCAAGACACUCAGUGCCGCAGUUAACGCGUUAAGCAUCCCGCCUGGGGACUACGG
rnacentral:rRNA from 1 species